CGGAUAACGGGGAGGAAGGUGGGGAUGACGUCAAGUCNUCAUGGCCUUUAUGUCCAGGGCUACACACGUGCUACAAUGGUNGGUACAAACCGUCGCAAACCCGCGAGGGGGAGCUAAUCGGAAAAAGCCGGCCUCAGUUCGGAUUGGAGUUUGCAACCCGACUCCAUGAAGCUGGAAUCGCUAGUAAUCGCAGAUCAGAACGCUGCGGUGAAUACGUUUCCCGGGCCUUGUACACACCGCCCGUCACAUCACGAAAGUGGGUGA
rnacentral:rRNA from 1 species